rnacentral:rRNA from 1 species
UAGCAUAUCAAUAAGCGGAGGAAAAGAAACCAACAGGGAUUGCCCUAGUAACGGCGAGUGAAGCGGCAACAGCUCAAAUUUGAAAUCUGGCUCUUUCAGAGUCCGAGUUGUAAUUUGCAGAGGGCGCUUUGGCUUUGGCAGCGGUCCAAGUUCCUUGGAACAGGACGUCACAGAGGGUGAGAAUCCCGUACGUGGUCGCUAGCUAUUGCCGUGUAAAGCCCCUUCGACGAGUCGAGUUGUUUGGGAAUGCAGCUCUAAAUGGGAGGUAAAUUUCUUCUAAAGCUAAAUAUUGGCCAGAGACCGAUAGCGCACAAGUAGAGUGAUCGAAAGAUGAAAAGCACUUUGGAAAGAGAGUCAAACAGCACGUGAAAUUGUUGAAAGGGAAGCGCUUGCAGCCAGACUUGCUUGCAGUUGCUCAUCCGGGCUUUUGCCCGGUGCACUCUUCUGUAGGCAGGCCAGCAUCAGUUUGGGCGGUGGGAUAAAGGUCUCUGUCACGUACCUCUCUUCGGGGAGGCCUUAUAGGGGAGACGACAUACCACCAGCCUAGACUGAGGUCCGCGCAUCUGCUAGGAUGCUGGCGUAAUGGCUGUAAGCGGCCCGUCUUGAAACACGGACCAAGGAGUCUAACAUCUAUGCGAGUGUUUGGGUGUCAAGCCCGAGCGCGUAAUGAAAGUGAACGGAGGUGGGAACCCGCAAGGGUGCACCAUCGACCGAUCCUGAAGUUUACGGAAGGAUUUGAGUAAGAGCAUGGCUGUUGGGACCCGAAAGAUGGUGAACUAUGCUUGAAUAGGGUGAAGCCAGAGGAAACUCUGGUGGAGGCUCGCAGCGGUUCUGACGUGCAAAUCGAUCGUCAAAUUUGGGCAUAGGGGCGAAAGACUAAUCGAACUAUCUAGUAGCUGGUUCCU